UGGGGAAUAUUGCACAAUGGGCGAAAGCCUGAUGCAGCAACGCCGCGUGAGUGAUGGAGGCCUUCGGGUUGUAAAGCUCUGUCUUCUGGGACGAUAAUGACGGUACCAGAGGAGGAAGCCACGGCUAACUACGUGCCAGCAGCCGCGGUAAUACGUAGGUGGCAAGCGUUGUGCGGAUUUACUGGGCGUAAAGGAUGCGUAGGCGGAUACUUAAGUCAGAUGUGAAAAUCCCGGGCUUAACUUGGGAACUGCAUUUGAAACUGGGUGUCUAGAGUGCGGGAGAGGAAAGUGGAAUUCCUAGUGUAGCGGUGAAAUGCGUAGAUAUUAGGAAGAACACCAGUGGCGAAGGCGACUUUCUGGACCGUAACUGACGCUGAGGCAUGAAAGCGUGGGGAGCAAACA
rnacentral:rRNA from 1 species